rnacentral:rRNA from 1 species
UUAGUGGCGACGGGUGAGUAACACGUGGGCAAUCUGCCCUUCACUCUGGGACAAGCCCUGGAAACGGGGUCUAAUACCGGAUAACACUCCUCCCUGCAUGGGGAGGGGUUAAAAGCUCCGGCGGUGAAGGAUGAGCCCGCGGCCUAUCAGCUUGUUGGUGGGGUAAUGGCCUACCAAGGCGACGACGGGUAGCCGGCCUGAGAGGGCGACCGGCCACACUGGGACUGAGACACGGCCCAGACUCCUACGGGAGGCAGCAGUGGGGAAUAUUGCACAAUGGGCGAAAGCCUGAUGCAGCGACGCCGCGUGAGGGAUGACGGCCUUCGGGUUGUAAACCUCUUUCAGCAGGGAAGAAGCGAAAGUGACGGUACCUGCAGAAGAAGCGCCGGCUAACUACGUGCCAGCAGCCGCGGUAAUACGUAGGGCGCAAGCGUUGUCCGGAAUUAUUGGGCGUAAAGAGCUCGUAGGCGGCUUGUCACGUCGGAUGUGAAAGCCCGGGGCUUAACCCCGGGUCUGCAUUCGAUACGGGCAGGCUAGAGUGUGGUAGGGGAGAUCGGAAUUCCUGGUGUAGCGGUGAAAUGCGCAGAUAUCAGGAGGAACACCGGUGGCGAAGGCGGAUCUCUGGGCCAUUACUGACGCUGAGGAGCGAAAGCGUGGGGAGCGAACAGGAUUAGAUACCCUGGUAGUCCACGCCGUAAACGUUGGGAACUAGGUGUUGGCGACAUUCCACGUCGUCGGUGCCGCAGCUAACGCAUUAAGUUCCCCGCCUGGGGAGUACGGCGCAAGGCUAAACUCAAAGGAAUUGACGGG